GUUAUUAAGGGUGCAGGGCGGAUGCCUUGGCACUAGGAGCCGAUGAAGGACGUGACUAACGACGAAAUGCUUUGGGGAGCUGUAAGUGAGCAAUGAUCCAGAGAUGUCCGAAUGGGGGAACCCGGCAGGUAAUGCCUGUCACUCAUUACUGUUAAGGUAAUGUAGAGGAAGACGCAGUGAACUGAAACAUCUAAGUAGCUGCAGGAAGAGAAAGCAAACGCGAUUGCCUUAGUAGCGGCGAGCGAAACGGCAAGAGGGCAAACCGAAGAGUUUACUCUUCGGGGUUGUAGGACUGCAACGUGGACUUAAAGAUUAUAGAAGAACUACCUGGGAAGGUAGGCCAAAGAGAGUAAUAGCCUCGUAUUCGAAAUAGUCUUUAUACCUAGCAGUAUCCUGAGUACGGCGAGACACGAGAAAUCUCGUCGGAAUCUGGGAGGACCAUCUCCCAACCCUAAAUACUCUCUAGUGACCGAUAGUGAACCAGUACCGUGAGGGAAAGGUGAAAAGCACCCCGGGAGGGGAGUGAAAUAGAACCUGAAACCGUGUGCCUACAACAAGUUCGAGCCCGUUAAUGGGUGAGAGCGUGCCUUUUGUAGAAUGAACCGGCGAGUUACGUUAUGAUGCGAGGUUAAGUUGAAGAGACGGAGCCGUAGGGAAACCGAGUCUUAAUAGGGCGCAUUAGUAUCAUGUCGUAGACCCGAAACCAUGUGACCUACCCAUGAGCAGGUUGAAGGUGAGGUAAAACUCACUGGAGGACCGAACCAGGGCACGUUGAAAAGUGCUUGGAUGACUUGUGGGUAGCGGAGAAAUUCCAAACGAACUUGGAGAUAGCUGGUUCUCUCCGAAAUAGCUUUAGGGCUAGCGUCGACAUUAGAGAUUCUUGGAGGUAGAGCACUGUUUGGGUGAGGGGUCCAUCCCGGAUUACCAAUCUCAGAUAAACUCCGAAUGCCAACGAGAUAUAAUCGGCAGUCAGACUGCGAGUGCUAAGAUCCGUAGUCGAAAGGGAAACAGCCCAGACCGCCAGCUAAGGUCCCAAAGUAUACGUUAAGUGGAAAAGGAUGUGGAGUUGCUUAGACAACCAGGAUGUUGGCUUAGAAGCAGCCACUCAUUAAAAGAGUGCGUAAUAGCUCACUGGUCGAGUGACUCUGCGCCGAAAAUUUAACGGGGCUAAACUAUACACCGAAGCUUGGGAUACAUCUAAUGUAUGGUAGGAGAGCGUUCUGUAUGGGGAGAAGUCGUAGCGAAAGCGGCGGUGGACUGUACAGAAGUGAGAAUGCCGGAAUAAGUAGCGAGAAUUAAGUGAGAAUCUUAAUGGCCGAAAGUCUAAGGUUUUUGGAGGAAGGUUCGUCCGCUCCAAGUAAGUCGGGAGCUAAGGUCAGGCCGAAAGGCGUAGCCGAUGCACAUACGGUUGAUAUUCCGUAACCAUCUGUAAUUUAAGCAAAGGGACACUUCAAAAGGGUGUGACCCGGGCGUUGGUUGACCCGGGCGUAAGGGACCGAAAUUAGAGUAGGGAAGCACACUUGGCUGAAGGCGAGAAAAGCUUUGCGUAUAGAAGCAGAUGCCCGUACCGCAAACCGACACAGGUGGACAGGAAGAGAAUUCUAAGGCCAGCGGGAGAAGGGUAGUUAAGGAACUCGGCAAAUUGACUCCGUAACUUCGGAAUAAGGAGUGCUCGAAAGAGCCGCAGAGAAUAGGCCCAGGCGACUGUUUAGCAAAAACACAGGUCUCUGCCAAAUCGAAAGAUGAAGUAUAGGGGCUGACACCUGCCCGGUGCCGGAAGGUUAAGAGGAGGAGUGAGAGCUCCGAAUUGAAGCCCCGGUAAACGGCGGCCGUAACUAUAACGGUCCUAAGGUAGCGAAAUUCCUUGUCGGGUAAGUUCCG
rnacentral:rRNA from 1 species